CCUACGGGAGGCAGCAGUGAGGAAUAUUGGUCAAUGGACGAGAGUCUGAACCAGCCAAGUAGCGUGAAGGAUGACUGCCCUGUGGGUUGUAAACUUCUUUUAUAUGGGAAUAAAAUGUUCCACGUGUGGGAUUUUGUAUGUACCAUAUGAAUAAGGAUCGGCUAACUCCGUGCCAGCAGCCGCGGUAAUACGGAGGAUCCGAGCGUUAUCCGGAUUUAUUGGGUUUAAAGGGAGCGUAGGUGGAGUGUUAAGUCAGUUGUGAAAGUUUGCGGCUCAACCGUAAAAUUGCAGUUGAAACUGGCAGUCUUGAGUACGGUAGAGGUGGGCGGAAUUCGUGGUGUAGCGGUGAAAUGCUUAGAUAUCACGAAGAACUCCGAUUGCGAAGGCAGUUCACUGGACUGCAACUGACACUGAGGCUCGAAAGUGUGGGUAUCAAACAGGAUUAGAUACCCGAGUAGUC
rnacentral:rRNA from 1 species